UCAUAGAUAAUGCAAUAUGGCUUGGACUUAAGGAUAAGUUUGGUGGUACUUCUGCAACCAAACUUCGGAGGCUAACUAUUAAGUUUGAUAUUUACAAAAAAUGACCAAAUACGAGUAUGAGAUAAUAUUUACGUGAGAUAUCAAACUUGAUUCGGGAGCUUUGUGAUGCACUCAGGCACGACUGACCACAUAACUCGAGAUCGUGCAGCACAUGUGGAGUUGGAUUCUAGCCGGCAU
rnacentral:lncRNA from 1 species